UACGGGGGGGGCAAGCGUUGUUCGGAAUUACUGGGCGUAAAGGGUUCGUAGGUGGCCAACUAAGUCAGACGUGAAAUCCCUCGGCUUAACCGGGGAACUGCGUCUGAUACUGGAUGGCUUGAGUUUGGGAGAGGGACGCGGAAUUCCAGGUGUAGCGGUGAAAUGCGUAGAUAUCAGGAAGAACACCCGUGGCGAAAGCGGCUCUCUGGAACGGUACUGACGCUGAGACGCGAAAGCGUGGGGAGCGAACAGG
rnacentral:rRNA from 1 species